AACAAAAGGACAGUAGUGGUUCUGGACCAGUUUUUCUGCUGAGGCCCGAAGAAUUUCAAAAAGUGAGGCACUGAAUGUAGUGUGCCAAACUGAGUACUUAACUGGAUGUCCAAUUUUAGCCUGCAAAGUGAUCCCAGCCAACACCAGAAUUCGUGGAAGGUUCUCAGAGUGGAUCGGCACCCAACUCCAUACAGCAAGAGCCCGUCAUCACGGGCUGUCUUUGCACAAGUUCUCUACAGUCAUCUGCAAAUGAGUAUGAAAACUUUCCAGGGAUUUUAAUUUAGUAGCUAAGUUUCUUACUCAGAGCCAAAAAGCACC
rnacentral:lncRNA from 1 species